UCACACCUGAUGAUGACUGUGUUAGUCGAAACGUCGUGAGAAUUUAUUUUAUAUAUUUUUUAUUAUUAUGUUGCUUCCCUUCAACGUGACUUUACCGAAAGAACCAAUAUUAUAGAUCUGAUUUUUGUCCGUGAAAACAUGGUUAGAUUUAAGUUAAUGGAGUUUAUAACAUUGUACAAAUUAGACGGAAAAACAUGAAACAAUACAAACGAUUCGCAACAAUCCAAUCACUGUUGAGGAGUGGUGUUGUCCAGUAACAUUAAGUCUAAACUGUGCGAUUGUGCGAAUUAUAAUAAAUCAUGAGUCAAGUUGAAAUAAAAAUGGGCCUACUUCCUUAUAAGCCUACGUGAUAAAGAUUAUCCAGUUUGCAUUAAAAACAGGUCCAUAAUUGUUUUUUUUCCUUCGAGAGCCAAUUCCAAGCACACAGCCUGUUUAUGCCUCCAGGGUUAUGCAUUACACAUCAAGGGGUAAUUGUUGGCAAGACAUGUUGGGAUUUUUUAAAUGUUUUUUUUUAUUUGUCAAAACAGACGAGCACAAGAACCAGUUUAGAUAACGUCCACAAUGAGCACAAACAAGCAUAAUAAUGGUUGCCCAAAGUUAUGACCUUGGAAACAACACAAUCAUAGAAUGUUAAACAUAAUUUUAACCGUCAUCUCAGUCUAUAAUUUUCCCUUUGGAAUAUUUAAACGUUCCAUGGUAUAUUGCUCGUAUAAAAUUAUCGAACUUAAGUUCAAUUUAGGAACGAUGGGGCUGCUGGUCUGCUCGACUUUACCAACAUUAUUAUUGUUAUAGCUCAAACUCUUAAACGUAGAGUAGAAGCCAAUAUACUAAACACACACUUGGUAGCAAAGCAAGGUGUGCUUACAUACAGAGUGUGCUUGUAUCAGUAUUUCCUCUACUGUAUGGACUUAAAAUGCCCACUGUGGACCAAUAAUAAAAAGCGUGGAAUGUUUGUACAGGGGCAGUGCAGGUACACUCGUGGGCAGUCAAACACGCAGGUGCGUCACUGAUAUGACUUUGCAUUUCUCAAAGAAGGUCGUGACCCCCCUGUGGACAGGUACACACAAGGUAGUGAUACCCCCUGUGGUCAGGUACACAAAAGGUAGUGACCCCCCCUGUGGACAGGUACACACAAGGUAGUGAUACCCCCUGUGGACAGGUACACACAAGGUAGUGAUACCCCCUGUGGACAGGUACACACAAGGUAGUGAUACCCCCUGUGGACAGGUACACACAAGGUAGUGAUACCCCCUGUGGACAGGUACACACAAGGUAGUGAUACCCCCUGUGGACAGGUACACACAAGGUAGUGAUACCCCCUGUGGACAGGUACACACAAGGUAGUGAUACCCCCUGUGGACAGGUACACACAAGGUAGUGAUACCCCCUGUGGACAGGUACACACAAGGCUGAGCAGCGGGCCGGCAAGAGCAGUAAGCGUGGGGUAGUGGCUGCCAGCCACGCCACGUCACACUCCGAUGUUGGGCGAAUGUCAUCAUUAUCUGGGCAAGGUGUCGUCUCGUUUUUAAAUUCAACUGAACUAUUUGGCAUUGUCAUCGAUAUGGGAAGGUGUGUCAUUUACCCGACUUCGGUACCCUCAGGCGCCACUGUAACAACAACAUUGGGUUAGUGACCUGUCAAAAAUAACCAGUGUGUGACACAUCAAAUUGCAAUGGUGCUUUUAAAAACGAAUACAAUUCACACAAUGCUGUGUAUCAACGUACAUGUUAUAAUUUUUUUGUACACGUACACUUAUUGUUGAAUGGUUACAAUACGACACAGGAUACUGUGCAAUUGUUAUACUCUGUAAUGUAUAGCCACAAGCACCUACAUGAAGUCAUUGCGUGGUUUUCAAUGGAUUGUCGAUAUCGUCAUACAAUUACAAUACUGUAGUGUACAUACUUUAUCUUACUUUAAAUUCUCAAUUGACUCCGAAACCUGCUUAAAACAAAUACAUCACGACUGACACAAGCAGAUAUCAGAAUGAUACUCUAAAAGUCUAAAUACAUAUACACAAUCACAAAAUAUAAAUUUAUGGACUUCACACAGCACAUUCAGUCUAACAGAAAAUAAAUUCAGUUACAUAUACACACACAUUUAAAACAAACCUCAAUAGGAAGCUUUGUCCAACAAAACCCAGCCACACGACCAUAAAAAAACACGACUCCUUAGACCAGGAUGUUGUUGAGGGCAUAAAGUAUGCGGGUUUGCUACUUUGGUACUGUACCAAAAUACCAACGAAAUGUAUCUCAAGGCCACGUGCAACACGACGAGAUGACAGACCACGAGUGCCGCUUACCAAUAAACGAUGUGUAUUUUGAGCGGCAUAGCUGCUGUAGAGGUGGUUGAGGCCGAAACGUCUGUUCUGCACCGUCACUGCACCGCGUCUUCGGUUUUGUCUACACCGGGCCAUUUAUAUGGAGACGCGGGCACAACCAUUCCGUCACCCUUCAGAGGGGUAAUGUGAUAGACUGGAUUUGUUCAAUGAUCUCAAGUACGGUUACAAACAAGGUGGAUGAAAGUACAUUUCAGUUAAUUUAAUUAUAACAAAUAUUUUAUACGACAAAACUGUGCUGUUUAGUGUCGCCUUAAUGUAUAUCGAUAAUGCAUGUCACAAUUGACCCCUACUUUACGAAUGAUACUGCCCAUUCUCGUGUUAACAAAGUGAAUGCGUCCUUUCAGCAUGGGCGUUGUGCAAGAUACUGGACCCGGCCAAACACACGCCGAUCUCGCAGAUUUUAAAUAGACGCAUUUUUUUGUUACUUAUAUUUCCUAAUCAAAGACUUGUCUAUAGAUACAAAAUAUAUUAUAAAAGAUAGAUAUCAAAUGUCACCAUUAAAUAAAUACAUCAUGGAUAUUACCUCGAUAGUGUCUUGCCGAGGUACGUAAUAGUUGUAAAAAUUAAAUCUGAAAAUAUUCAACCCUUUGAAAAUUCCAUUGAAGCACAAUGCGAACACAGCAGUUAUCGAUUAUCCAGCGUCUUCGGGGGGCGCCGGAUUAAUAAACCCCGCAGGGUAAUCACUACAGUAUGUUAUACAUUAAGGCGACAUUCUUGCAUAUCACGUUUCUAGGUGUUGCGUAUGUCUGUUUUGUGUUUACAAAAUGUUAUUACGUGAAAUAGGCACGAAUAAACAUAGACAAAUGUCCAAAUGAAACAAAAACUACUGUCUCAUACUUUCCACGGCACUCAAAGUCUCUGCAUGGGGCGAUGAUGCACGUCGUUCUGCUACGUUUUUUAAAAAAUGUGACCUUUUUGCCAAUAUCAAAGUAUUUAAAAAAAAUACUGGCAAAAAGGUCCCUUGUAGCUGCUCACCCCGAGCUAUAACUGCCCUGAUGGUGCACUGCCUUUGCUUUUAUUUGGUUCUUUCGGUAAAGUCACGUAGAUAGAAAAAAAUAAAUAAAAGAUUACGACGUUUCGAUCGCAACACAAGCGGUCGUCCUCAGGCGGAAAAACAAUAAUUCAGCAGUACAUCCACUGCUGGAUGAGGGCCUAGCCACGCCGUUGUCGGUCACGGGGGUUGUUUGUUGACCAUACUUCACGCUUGUCAGUGUGGGUUUGUGAAGCUGGCGUGGGUGGGCAGGUUCCAAUCAGAUGAGACUCACCAUUGAUGUUAGCCAUGGCUGGGAAUCGAAUUUGGGUUCCCGGGUUCAUAGUGCAGUGGUAUGCCAACCCAUUAUUUAAUCCAUGUACAUCACCAAAGCAAUGGCAUGUUGUACAUGGCCACAGGGCUUUGGGAGUAUGCACGAUACGUGGGUUCAGUCCGGUUUACAAAGUAUUUUCCCGUUACUGCCCUCUGCCCAUUGUUUUUGUUUAACUCUCUUUCGUUUGUGGAGAGACAGAAAAAUCAGUAUCAUCCGAUUACUAAAUGUGUUACUUCUAUUCUCCAUAAGGACGCGAGAGAUGAGCGUGUGCUACGUGUUGUUACGCAAGAUUUGCGUCCAACUUAAAACCCAACAGCCAGCAGCAUCAGCAUCACCAAAUCAAUUAAUCCGUCACUUCUGGCUCUUGUGCCACCAGGAAUUUGGUUAGACGAACUUACGAACAGAUACAGAUCUUCGUGAAGCCGUGGCAAGUGGUAAGGGAAAUAAUACAUAAAUACAAAUACGGAGGGAAAAUAAAAGGUUACACAUCGAAGAAGACCUGAUGAUGCAGACAGUGAUGAGAAGGAAACUGGCACCAUCUGGACAAAUGUGUAGGAUGGUGAACAACAGGAAUAUUAAAAGUGUCUUGUUCGGAAAAAUGUAAGGACCCGUAGAGGACGACCUUACAGAGAAUGGCUUGAAGAUGACAUAAGAGAUUGUUUCUAGAUUUGAAGUUUUCGUGACUGCAAGGAUCCAUACUCUUUGGUUCUAUUCGGUAAAGUCA